UACAGAGGUCUCAAGCGUUGUUCGGAUUCAUUGGGCGUAAAGGGUGUGUAGGUGGCGCCGUAAGUCGGGUGUGAAAUUUCGGAGCUUAACUCCGAAACUGCAUUCGAUACUGCCGUGCUUGAGGACUGGAGAGGAGACUGGAAUUUACGGUGUAGCGGUGAAAUGCGUAGAUAUCGUAAGGAAGACCAGUGGCGAAGGCGGGUCUCUGGACAGUUCCUGACGCUGAGGCACGAAGGUCAGGGGAGCAAACGGGG
rnacentral:rRNA from 1 species